rnacentral:lncRNA from 1 species
UCUGAUGGUCAUAGAUUCUAAUGAGAUUGAAUUGGCAAAGUUCAAGACCAAUAGGGAAAAUGAGUUUGAAAUGUCAAACUUAGAAACUUGGCAUACUUCCUAGGAAUGGAAAUUGUGAAUAUAAAGUGUGAAGUUUUCUUGCAUCAGAAGAAAUAUGUAGAAAAUAUAUUGGAGAAAUUCAAGAUAAGAAAUUGCAACCCUACAAUUAGUGUAACACCCACAUAUAAUAUAUGUCUAAAAUACAUAUUAUACAUUGUGUAAUACUGGUACUAAAAUACAUAAGCGCCUAGUGGCAACAGCAUACAUAUUACAUGCCCAAAAAAACACUAAAUAUCACUAAAUAUACACAAAUGUGCCCAAAAUAAAACUAGGAACUAGAUCAUUGUAGAAUGAUCUCAAAAUAUCUACACGGCAGAAAAGUCAUCCAAAACAUCAAAAAAGCAAGGACAUCAUGAUAUCUUGUCCUUACCCUUCUCCUGAUCGAAACUACCUGAAAAAUAAUCAACAACAUGGGGUGAGAUAAUAAUCUCAGUGGGUUCCCUAUCUUAUGGAUCCACUCGUCUCUACAGGGUUUUCUAAUCAAUAUCCAACUUAAGUCAACAAGGGAUGGAAGAAUUAAGUGAUGGGUAAAAACCUCACAAUGUAUGGCAACAUGCUCCUGAGUUCUCACAACUCAAAAUAAAUCACUAUUCAGAUUCACGAAACAUCAAUCCAUGAGCGGACCUACGUCUAGGGCAAGCCCAGUUCAUGCAUGCUCGUAUGAUUCGACUUUCGCAGUGGAUAUCGGGUCCUCUAUGAGUCUUAAGCUUAAUCCAAGAGAUCGUCACUCGUAUGGGCCUCUAACCCACUUAGGGUAUCUUUCACCGUAUGGGCCUCUAACCCACUUUGGUGUCCACUUAUCUCCCAUGUCCGCCAUGGUUAGGGCUCAAACCCAAUUGAGACACGAAUCAUUGGAGUCACAUCACAUUGCUUACUCAUCUAAGCAUCUCAAAUAGGGAUGUACAUCAUCAAGGGUAAAACAUUCUGAAUGUGUGAUUAAUUCCAUAAAACAUAACUAGAUUCAUCAAUCAUUGGUGACUUCAGUCACCAAUAUACAUGCAAUAACAAUGCAUGUUCCAUACAAAGCGUCUUACUCUCAACUAUAGCAACCAUUCAUUUACGACCUUCACAUAGGUAUCGUAUGAAUAAAUGUUGCUUUCUACUGUUAUCUAAUUUAUAUGUCUAACUUAUAGCCUAAAAUGAUCCCUAGGUUAACUCGCUUGAUUCAACAUGUAAUUUUCACAUUUAACAUUGAUUCAACACAAGUAUAAGAUGACAAGGGAUUAAUAGUUGAUGCAAUGCAUUUAGAAAUAUAAGAGAAAUAAAAUUUUAAAUUUUAGGCAUGAGUCAAUCGAUUGGUUUGGGAGGCCCAAUCGAUUGGUUUAUCUCACAAUUCCAUUUUUCAAAGAAAACAAAGGAUCAAUUGAUUAAUGCUGAGUGUUAAUCGAUUGACAGCUGAACAAAUUUCCAAUUUUCGAAAUCAGUAAGUUCAUGCAAUCGAUUGAAGUCUAAUGUCAAUCGAUUGGUUCCUACAAAUUUUCAUUUUCUUCAAAACAGAAAGAAAAUACAAUCGAUUGAUGUCGAGUGUCAAUCGAUUGGUUGUAGAAAAAUUUCAUUUUCUUAAGAAUCAGAGGGUUCCACCAAUCGAUUGGCCUGGAAAGAAACCCAGAACCAAUCGAUUAAUUCAAGUUAUAUUUUCAGAAAAACUCUUCUCUGAACUUCCUUUUUUUCCAAACCUGCAUAAAAUAUUUGUUUCAUUUCCAACAACCAAUCUAGUAACACAAUCAUGGAAACAUAUAAACAACACCUUACCAUAGAUAUAGAUAUAUAUAUAUAUAUAUAUAUUCUUAUUUUUCCCAAAACUCAUGAACACAAUCAAAACAACAACCACGUCAUUAUAUCACAAGAAUCCAACUAAUACAAGAAACACAUGUAGAAACAUCAUCAUAAUAUCAUCAAUCAUACUAUCAAUUUCAUGGUUCAUCAAACCUUAACUUCUAAAUCUAAAGUUCUACCUAGAACCCACCUUAGAAAUAGAAGAGGAGAAGUUGUUGAGGAUGAGAUGAUGAUAUGAAGAUGAUGAUGGUGAUUCCAAGCUCUUGAUUUCUCCAAGCUUUUCUUCUUCUUCUCACAAGUUCUCUAUUUCCUUUCCAUGUUCUCCUUAGACUUUCCAAGUCUUCUUUUCCCUCUGAUAACUUCUACUAAUAGCUAGAUAUUACAAGGCAAGUGGAACUAUAACAUGGGGUGGUGAAUGAGUCAUAGAGUUAGAAAUAAGUGGCCAUGAGUG